CUAUGCAAUAACUCUAUCAUCCUUGCUGUAAAUUCACUUUUGGUAACCGAAGCCCGGGCUCUCAGGCAUAUUAUUAAGAUGUCGAAGGAAGCAUUCGAGGCAGAAUUUGAGAGUAUGAGUCCGGGCAGACCUGAACGCGUCAGCCCUGGGGGACCUGAUCCUCAUCAUCACUUUUGAACAUUUCUAGUCUCUCAAUGCUUAUUAUGAUCAAUGGAACUCACAGAGAAAACAUUUUGUGUGUGCUAAAGCUUGCUGUGCUAUUUGUAAUUUUCCAUUGUCUAUGUUAGCUCUGUCUGCACUAUCUGAUGAAGGAGAGUUGGAAAUGGUCCAAAAAUGAUUGUUUGUGAGUUUUCAUUUUGAUUGUUCAAUAAAUGUAACUGUUGAAGAAUAAAAUGCCUUAUUAUUCA